GUAGGUGGCAAGCGUUGUCCGGAAUUAUUGGGCGUAAAGCGCGCGCAGGCGGUUCUUUAAGUCUGAUGUGAAAGCCCACGGGCUCAACCGUGGAGGGUCAUUGGAAACUGGAGAACUUGAGUACAGAAGAGGAAAGCGGAAUUCCACGUGUAGCGGUGAAAUGCGUAGAGAUGUGGAGGAACACCAGUGGCGAAGGCGGCUUUCUGGUCUGUAACUGACGCUGAGGCGCGAAAGCGUGGGGAGCAAACAGGAUUAGAUACCCUGGUAGUCCACGCCGUAAACGAUGAGUGCUAAGUGUUAGGGGGUUUCCGCCCCUUAGUGCUGCAGCUAACGCAUUAAGCACUCCGCCUGGGAGUACGACCGCAAGGUUG
rnacentral:rRNA from 1 species